GACGAACGCUGGCGGCGCGCCUAACGCAUGCAAGUCGAACGAAGCGGAAGGAACGAAGUCUUCGGACAGAAUUUUUUCUUGCUUAGUGGCGAACGGGUGAGUAACACGUGAAUAACCUGCCCUUGAGUGGGGGACAACAUUUGGAAACAGAUGCUAAUACCGCAUAAGACCCCGGAACCGCAUGGUUCUGAGGCCAAAGGAGCAAUUCGCCCAAGGAUGGAUUCGCGUCCAAUUAGCUAGAUGGUGAGGUAAAGGCCCACCAUGGCGACGAUUGGUAGCCGGACUGAGAGGUUGAACGGCCACAUUGGGACUGAGACACGGCCCAGACUCCUACGGGAGGCAGCAGUGGGGAAUAUUGCACAAUGGACGAAAGUCUGAUGCAGCGACGCCGCGUGGAGGAAGAAGGUUUUCGGAUUGUAAACUCCUGUCUUCAGGGACGAUAAUGACGGUACCUGAGGAGGAAGCCACGGCUAACUACGUGCCAGCCGCCGCCGUAA
rnacentral:rRNA from 1 species